rnacentral:rRNA from 1 species
CGAAACCGCGAAUGGCUCAUUAAAUCAGUUAUGGUUCACUAGAUCGUACAGUUUACAUGGAUAACUGUGGUAAUUCUAAAGCUAAUACAUGCACCCAGUCCGUUCCCUCGUGGAGCGGAUGCAGUUAUUUGCCCAAAACCAAUCCGGCCUUCGGGUCGGUCAAUUGGUGACUCUGAAUAACCGAAGCGGAGCGCAUGGUCUCGUACCGGCGCCAGAUCUUUCAAGUGUCUGACUUAUCAGCUUGUUGUUAGGUUAUGUUCCUAACAAGGCAUCAACGGGUAACGGAGUGUCAGGGCCCGACACCGGAGAGGGAGCCUGAGAAACGGCUACCACAUCCAAGGAAGGCAGCAGGCGCGCAAAUUACCCACUCCCGGCACGGGGAGGUAGUGACGAGAAAUAACG